GAUGAACGCUAGCUACAUGCUUAACACAUGCAAGUCGAACGGAAACGCUCUCCUUGCAUUGCAUUCGAGAGGCGACCGGCUGCGCAAGGCGUGGUAAAGCUUCUCUGCACUUCCGCAUACGCCGGGAUAACUUGGUGUAAUUACGAUUAAUAGCCGGUGUUUUCGUGGUGGUUCGUAAGUCUUUUCGGUGUAGUAUGUGCUCGCGGCAUAUCAGCUUGUUGGUGGGGUUAUGGCCUACCAAGGCGGCGACGGGUAGCCGGCCUGAGAGGGUGGACGGCCACAUUGGGACUGAGAUACGGCCCAGACUCCUACGGGAGGCAGCAGUGGGGAAUAUUGCACAAUGGGCGCAAGCCUGAUGCAGCGACGCCGCGUGGGGGAUGACGGCCUUCGGGUUGUAAACUCCUUUCGCUAGGGACGAAGCUUUUUGUGACGGUACCUAGAUAAGAAGCACCGGCUAACUACGUG
rnacentral:rRNA from 1 species